rnacentral:rRNA from 1 species
GACGAACGCUGGCGGCGUGCUUAACACAUGCAAGUCGAACGAUGAAGCGGUGCUUGCACCGUGGAUUAGUGGCGAACGGGUGAGUAAUACGUGAGUGACCUACCUUUGACUCUGGGAUAAGCCUGGGAAACUGGGUCUAAUACCGGAUACGACCAAUCUCUGCAUGGGGUGUUGGUGGAAAGCGUUAUGGAGUGGUUUUAGAUGGGCUCACGGCCUAUCAGCUUGUUGGUGAGGUAAUGGCUUACCAAGGCGACGACGGGUAGCCGGCCUGAGAGGGUGACCGGCCACACUGGGACUGAGACACGGCCCAGACUCCUACGGGAGGCAGCAGUGGGGAAUAUUGCACAAUGGGCGCAAGCCUGAUGCAGCGACGCCGCGUGAGGGAUGACGGCCUUCGGGUUGUAAACCUCUGUUAGCAUCGAAGAAGCGAAAGUGACGGUAGGUGCAGAGAAAGCGCCGGCUAACUACGUGCCAGCAGCCGCGGUAAUACGUAGGGCGCGAGCGUUGUCCGGAAUUAUUGGGCGUAAAGAGCUUGUAGGCGGUUGGUCGCGUCUGCUGUGAAGGCCGGGGCUUAACUCCGGUUUUGCAGUGGGUACGGGCUAACUAGAGUGCAGUAGGGGAGACUGGAAUUCCUGGUGUAGCGGUGGAAUGCACAGAUAUCAGGAGGAACACCGAUGGCGAAGGCAGGUCUCUGGGCUGUAACUGACGCUGAGAAGCGAAAGCAUGGGGAGCGAACAGGAUUAGAUACCCUGGUAGUCCAUGCCGUAAACGUUGGGCACUAGGUGUGGGGGACAUUCCACGUUUUCCGCGCCGUAGCUAACGCAUUAAGUGCCCCGCCUGGGGAGUACGGCCGCAAGGCUAAAACUCAAAGGAAUUGACGGGGGCCCGCACAAGCGGCGGAGCAUGCGGAUUAAUUCGAUGCAACGCGAAGAACCUUACCAAGGCUUGACAUGCAUUAGAUCGCGUCAGAGAUGGCGUUUCCCUUCGGGGCUGGUGUACAGGUGGUGCAUGGUUGUCGUCAGCUCGUGUCGUGAGAUGUUGGGUUAAGUCCCGCAACGAGCGCAACCCCCGUUCUAUGUUGCCAGCGGUUCGGCCGGGGACUCAUAGGAGACUGCCGGGGUCAACUCGGAGGAAGGUGGGGAUGACGUCAAAUCAUCAUGCCCCUUAUGUCUUGGGCUUCACGCAUGCUACAAUGGCCGGUACAGAGGGUUGCGAUACUGUGAGGUGGAGCUAAUCCCUUAAAGCCGGUCUCAGUUCGGAUUGGGGUCUGCAACUCGACCCCAUGAAGUCGGAGUCGCUAGUAAUCGCAGAUCAGCAACGCUGCGGUGAAUACGUUCCCGGGCCU